rnacentral:rRNA from 1 species
AAGGCGUAGUCGAUGGACAGCAGGUUGAUAUUCCUGCACUUAUGCAUAUCAGAACUGUGGGGACGCAGGCAAAAGGAGUGAGCCGGGAAAGGAAAGCCCGGUCCCGCAAGGGGGAACGAACUAAAGUAGUGAAGCACUAGAUAUGACUGCCAAGAAAAGCCACUAUUGCGUAUGUAUAACCCGUACCGUAAACCGACACAGGUGGAUGAGGAGAGAAUCCUAAGGCCGACGGGAGAAGCAUUGUUAAGGAACUCGGCAAAAUGUCCCCGUAACUUCGGGAUAAGGGGAGCCCACCUAAGACGUGGGCCGCAGAGAAGAGGCUCAAGCAACUGUUUAGCAAAAACACAGGUCUAUGCGAAACCGAAAGGUGAAGUAUAUGGGCUGACGCCUGCCCGGUGCUGGAAGGUUAAGAGGAGAGGUUAGCGCAAGCGAAGCUUUGAAUUUAAGCCCCAGUAAACGGCGGCCGUAACUAUAACGGUCCUAAGGUAGCGAAAUUCCUUGUCGGGUAAGUUCCGACCCGCACGAAAGGCGUAAUGAUUUGAGCACUGUCUCGGCAAUGCACCCGGUGAAAUUGAAGUACCAGUGAAGAUGCUGGUUACCCGCGCCAGGACGGAAAGACCCCAUGGAGCUUUACUCCAGGUUGAUACUGGGAGCCGGUAUUAUAUGUACAGGAUAGGUGGGAGACUAAGAAGCUGUGACGUCAGUUGCAGUGGAGUCGCUGUUGGGAUACCACCCUUAUGAUGCUGGUUUUCUAACCAAGGACCAUUAUCUGGUCCGGGGACAAUGUCUGCCGGGGAGUUUGACUGGGGCGGUCGCCUCCGAAAGGGUAUCGGAGGCGCUCAAAGGUUCCUUCAGAAUGGACGGAAACCAUUCGCAGAGUGCAAAGGCAUAAGGGAGCCUGACUGUGACACCGACGGGUGGAACAGAUACGAAAGUAGGACUUAGUGAUCCGGUGGUAUGAAAGUGGGAUUGCCAUCGCUCAACGGAUAAAAGCUACCCUGGGGAUAACAGGCUUAUCACUCCCAAGAGUUCACAUCGACGGAGUGGUUUGGCACCUCGAUGUCGGCUCAUCGCAUCCUGGGGCUGUAGCAGGUCCCAAGGGUUGGGCUGUUCGCCCAUUAAAGCGGUACGCGAGCUGGGUUCAGAACGUCGUGAGACAGUUCGGUCCCUAUCCGGCG